UACGUAGGGGGCAAGCGUUGUCCGGAUUUAUUGGGCGUAAAGAGCGUGUAGGCGGCCAGGUAGGUCAGCUGUGAAAACUCGAGGCUCAACCUCGAGACGCCGGUUGAAACCAUCUGGCUAGAGUCCGGAAGAGGAGAGUGGAAUUCCUGGUGUAGCGGUGAAAUGCGCAGAUAUCAGGAGGAACACCGGUGGCGAAGGCGGGACUCUGGGCCGAUACUGACGCUGAGGAGCGAAAGCGUGGGGAGCAAACAGG
rnacentral:rRNA from 1 species